AUUGAACGCUGGCGGCAGGCCUAACACAUGCAAGUCGGGCGGUAACACAGGGAGCUUGCUCCUGGGUGACGAGCGGCGGACGGGUGAGUAAAGUCUGGGAAACUGCCUGAUGGAGGGGGAUAACUAAUGGAAACGGUAGCUAAUACCGCAUAACGUCGCAAGACCAAAGAGGGGGACCUUCGGGCCUCUUGCCAUCAGAUGUGCCCAGAUGAGAUUAGCUAGUAGGUGGGGUAACGGCUCACCUAGGCGACGAUCCCUAGCUGGUCUGAGGGGAUGACCGGCCACACUGGAACUGAGACACGGUCCAGACUCCUCCGGAAGGCAGCAGUGGGGAAUGUUGCGCAAUGGGCGCAAGCCUGAUGCAGACAUGCCGCGUGUAUGAAGAAGGCCUUCGGGUUGUAAAGUACUUUCAGCGGGGAGGAAGGUGUUGUGGUUAAUAACCACAGCAAUUGACGUUACCCGCAGAAGAAGCACCGGCUAACUCCGUGCCAGCCGCCGCCGUAAUAC
rnacentral:rRNA from 1 species